rnacentral:rRNA from 1 species
UAGGGAAUCUUCGGCAAUGGACGAAAGUCUGACCGAGCAACGCCGCGUGAGUGAAGAAGGUUUUCGGAUCGUAAAACUCUGUUGUUAGAGAAGAACAAGGACGUUAGUAACUGAACGUCCCCUGACGGUAUCUAACCAGAAAGCCACGGCUAACUACGUGCCAGCAGCCGCGGUAAUACGUAGGUGGCAAGCGUUGUCCGGAUUUAUUGGGCGUAAAGCGAGCGCAGGCGGUUUCUUAAGUCUGAUGUGAAAGCCCCCGGCUCAACCGGGGAGGGUCAUUGGAAACUGGGAGACUUGAGUGCAGAAGAGGAGAGUGGAAUUCCAUGUGUAGCGGUGAAAUGCGUAGAUAUAUGGAGGAACACCAGUGGCUAAGGCGGCUCUCUGGUCUGUAACUGACGCUGAGGCUCGAAAGCGUGGGGAGCAAACAGG